UGGGGAAUUUUGGACAAUGGGGGCAACCCUGAUCCAGCCAUCCCGCGUGUGCGAUGAAGGCCUUCGGGUUGUAAAGCACUUUUGGCAGGGAAGAAACAGCCUGGGCUAAUAUCCCGGGCGACUGACGGUACCUGCAGAAUAAGCACCGGCUAACUACGUGCCAGCAGCCGCGGUAAUACGUAGGGUGCAAGCGUUAAUCGGAAUUACUGGGCGUAAAGCGUGCGCAGGCGGUUCGGAAAGAAAGGUGUGAAAUCCCAGGGCUUAACCUUGGAACUGCACUUUUAACUACCGGGCUAGAGUACGUCAGAGGGGGGUAGAAUUCCACGUGUAGCAGUGAAAUGCGUAGAGAUAUGGAGGAAUACCGAUGGCGAAGGCAGCCCCCUGGGAUGAUACUGACGCUCAUGCACGAAAGCGUGGGGAGCAAACA
rnacentral:rRNA from 1 species